AAGCUUCGGGGAGCUGCAAAUAAGCAUUGAUCCGGAGAUUUCUGAAUGAGGAAACUCACCUGGGUUCAUACUCAGGUACGUUAUACUGAACUUCAAAAUAGGUAUAUCGAGGGAACCGCCUGAACUGAAACAUCUAAGUAGGGCGAGGAAGAGACAUCAAACGAGAUUCCGUAAGUAGUGGCGAGCGAACGCGGAAGAGGGCAAACCGAGAGUAGAAAUACUUUCGGGGUACGGACUGCUUUUAGGACUUAAUCUGUUAACCGAACGGCAUGGGAAGGCCGGUCAGAGAGUGUGAGAACCACGUAGGUGAAAACGGAGAGAGCUGCGCAGGAUCCAGAGUACGGCCAGACACGUGAAACCUGGUCGGAAUACGGGGGGACCACCCUCCAACCCUAAAUACUACCCAGUGACCGAUAGCGUAUAGUACUGUGAAGGAAAGGUGAAAAGCACCCCGGGAGGGGAGUGAAAAAGAACCUGAAACCCUGUGCCUACAAGCACCUAGAGCGCGUCAAAGCGUGAUAGGGUACUUUUUGUAGAACGGUCCGGCGAGCGAUUGUAUGCAGCAAGGUUAAGGACUUAAGGUCUGGAGCCGAAGCGAAAGCGAGUUUGAAAAGGGCGUUAAGUUGCAUAUAAUGGGCCCGAAACCGGGUGACCUACCCAUGGUCAGGUUGAAGUGGAAGUAAAAUUCCAUGGAGGACCGAACCGACCUCCGUUGAAAAGGCGGCGGAUGAACUGUGGGUAGCGGAGAAAUUCCAAUCGAACCCGGAGAUAGCUGGUUCUCCCCGAAAUAGUUUUAGGACUAGCCUCAAGUUAGAUACCUGGAGGUAAAGCACUGAAUAGCCUAGCGGCCGAGAGGUUAGCGAAGCUUAUCAAACUCAGAAUGCCAGAGUAUUGAUGCUUGGGAGUCAGACAGUGUCAGAUAAAUGUCAUUGUCAAAAGGGAAACAGCCCAGAUCUACAGCUAAGGUCCCAAAGUCAGGUUAAGUGGAAAACGAUGUGAAGAUACGCAGACAACCAGGAUGUUGGCUCAGAAGCAGCCACUCAUUCAAAGAGUGCGUAAUAGCUCACUGGUCGAGCGUCUUUGCGCGGAGAAUUUAACGGGGCUAAACCUGACACCGAAGCUUAGGCAAUACAGCAAUGUAUUGGGUAGGGGAGCGUUGUAUACGCGGUGAAACAGUAGCGCAAGCGGCUGUGGAGUGUAUAGAAGUGAGAAUGCCGGAAUGAGUAGCGCGAAUGCAGUGAGAAUCUGCAUGGCCGAAAGCCUCAGGUUUCUGGAGGAAGGUUCGUCCGCUCCAGGUCAGUCGGGAGCUAAGGUGAGGCCUAACGGCGUAGCCGAUGCACAGACGGUAGAGAUUCCGUCACCACCAAAAGAGUUAAGCACAGGGACACAUAUGAAGUCUCGGAGCCGGGUGUUGGUUCCGGUAGCGAUCGAGGGAAGUUAGUACCGAAGUCCGGGAUGGAAGAUGGCGAGAAAAGCUGUGUGGAUUUCUGCGGUGCCCGUACCGCAAACCGACACAGGUAGGUAGGAAGAAGAUUCUAAGGCCAACGGGAGAAGGGUUGUUAAGGAACUCGGCAAAUUGACCCCGUAACUUCGGGAGAAGGGGUGCUGCAGCAAUGCAGCCGCAGAGAAUCGGCCCAAGCAACUGUUUACCAAAAACACAGGUUUGUGCUAAAUCGAAAGAUGACGUAUACGAGCUGACGCCUGCCCGGUGCUGGAAGGUUAAGAGGAGAUGUGCAAGCAUUGAAUCGAAGCCCCAGUGAACGGCGGCCGUAACUAUAACGGUCCUAAGGUAGCGAAAUUCCUUGUCAGGUAAGUUCUGACCCGCAUGAAAGGCGUAAUGAUUUGGGCACUGUCUCAACAGCCCGCCCGGCGAAAUUGUAGUACCGGUGAAGAUGCCGGUUACCCGCGACAAGACGGAAAGACCCCAUGGAGCUUUACUGUAGCCUAAUAUUGGGUUUCGAUGUUGCAUGCACAGGAUAGAUGGGACACUGGGAAGCAGGUGCUUUGGCGCUUGUGGAGUGGCCGUUGGGAUACCAUCCUUGCGAUAUUGGAAUUCUAACCUGCGCCUUUGAAUCAAGGCGGGGGACAUUGUUAGGUGGGCAGUUUGACUGGGGCGGUCGCCUCCUAAAGAGUAACGGAGGCGUUCAAAGGUUCGCUCAGCUUGAACGGAAAUCAAGCAAAAGAGUGCAAACGCAGAAGCGAGCCUAACUGCGAGACUGACGGGUCGAGCAGUAACGAAAGUUGGAGUUAGUGAUCCGGUGGUAUGUGAGUGGAAAUGCCAUCGCUCAACGGAUAAAAGUUACCCUGGGGAUAACAGGCUGAUCUCCCCCAAGAGUCCACAUCGACGGGGAGGUUUGGCACCUCGAUGUCGGCUCAUCGCAUCCUGGGGCUGUAUUCGGUCCCAAGGGUUUGGCUGUUCGCCAAUUAAAGCGGUACGCGAGCUGGGUUCAGAACGUCGUGAGACAGUUCGGUCCCUAUCUGUCGUGGGCGCAGGAUAUUUGAUGGGAGCUGUUCCUAGUACGAGAGGACCGGAGCGGACGUACCUCUGGCGCACCAGUUGUUCUGCCAAGAGCAUAGCUGGGCAACUAUGUACGGAUCGGAUAAACGCUGAAAGCAUCUAAGCGUGAAGCCGACCCAAAGAUAAGAUAUCCCAUUGUUUCAAACAAGUAAGACCCCUUGAAGACUACAAGGUUGAUAGGCACGAUGUGUAAGUGGAGCGAUCCAUUCAGCAAGCGUGUACUAAUAGGUCGAGGGCUUGACCAC
rnacentral:rRNA from 1 species